GUGCAUGGACAGAAGGCUCUCAUAUGCCAAUGGGGCAAUUUACUGGAGGAAACACUGAUUACUCAGGGCAGAUCGUAGAAGAUCCAUUUACAUUGGUCCUUAUUUAACCAAGCAGCUAAGUCGACUACUUCACCAGUCCUUCACAGUUCAAGACCAGUUUGUUGCUACAAGUUCCCCACGCUGAACCAGUUCUGCCAAUUAUUGCCGCCGGCUAGUCAUGGAAUUCGAGUGUCCAAGAUAGUGCAGUAUCGAAGCCGAGAUGGGAACAGACUUUUGGUGUUCGACUUUGUGAGAUUUGGUCGAGUUUAGAACUCGAAAUACCAGGGAGCAUAUGACUGAGUUGGAUUUUUAGCAGUAAGAAGUUAGGGGAGAAGAAGUUCCGUCGAUGCCAUUAAUUUGAGAAGGAAUGUUGGUAUUCGAAAGUGGAGAGAUGGGUUAAUCUUAAGUUUGCAAUUGCUGACAAGAACUUAAGCUGAAGCCAAUAAAUGCAGUGAAGAAAUUCAAUAUACUGCCAUUGAUAUUUGGUGAUGAACGAUAGAAAAUUGAGUUGGCUUUGCAAUUGAAUGAUUGGGUUUGUGCAGGUUCGUUAUUUGCAGAGAAUGAAGGUCCAGAGAGAACUAAGACAUCAUCAGAUUAGAUUCUCCAUUACCAACUCAAGAAUGCACACUACAUGUUUGACAAAACGACUGAAAGAUGAGAUCAUUCACCAAUUUUCCAGCCAUGGGUGUUUACACGAGGGGUUACUAGUGCUUGUUCUCGAUAGUUAAAGAAAGUUAUUAUAAAGCCAUGAAUUCAGUGAAGCAGGUGGGUCUUUGUAAUGGGUUUUUAGAGAUAAUUGAAGUCUGGAAAAACACGACAGAGAUGGAUUGAAUUGUUGGAAGUUUGGGCCUGUGAUGGAUAUGAGUCUCUCUGCCGGUGUUGUUGCAGUGGCUGGAAACUCAAUUGAGAAGGAUAUAUUUAUGGUUCGAUGGCUGUGUAUGAAGAGUAACCGAUACUGGCUAGGUGGUAUCAAUUGGUUCAGAUUUGGAAAGAGUUUUCUAAUCGACAAAACAGGGAAGACUUGGGAGUUGCCAUGGUUGGAUUUUAUGAAUGAACGGAGUAGAUUGAGACUUAUUUCAGAAGUGCAGAUAAGCAAGGAAAGAAGGAAAGUUGGGUUGUUAAUAUUAUACGAAGUUGCAGGAGAAGAAGACUAUAAUAGACGACCUACAGACUACGCAAAAGAGGGCAUCAUCUCAUACCCGCCGCUCAGAACUGUUUCAUCACCACAAAGAGGAGCUCUGCUCCUCUCCAAAACCUUUCCAUCCACCAGUUUACAUUCCAUCAUCAUCUGCAUCACAUACACCACCUGCAUACUCCACCAACAGCAUCAUUCAUCAUCUCAUAUACCACCUACAUACUACUACCAUCUGCAUACCAUCAUCUCCAUCCACCUGCAUCUCCACCAGCAUCGUCUUAUCUGUCACCUGCAUAUCCAUCUCCACCUGCAUCUCCUCAAUCCACAGCACCAAGGAAGCAGACUAGCAGGCAACCACAUAGCAGCAGUUCAACGUUGCCAGUACCACUCCAUUUACCAUCCUGUUGGCGAUCUCUCCCCACUGCCAGUUCUUCUUUGAGCCACGGCAGUCCUUCGCAUCCACAACUUCACCUGCUGUUUGGUUCUCUUGUUUCACCAUGAACUCCAGUAACUAAGCAUUCUUGAUUAGGAAACCGUUGAUAUGAUUGACGUUGAAUGGUGGGGGUACCUGCAAAAAACACUCCGAUGCUAAAGUUAGAGAGAGUUUCUUCACAGGUGUAUUGUGUGGAAAAGGAUUAGAAAAUCUGUACCUUUUGAGUGAGGAUCUAGCCUCUAUUUAUAGGCAGAAAGUAGGUCUAGCUUUAGGGUUUUCAUAGUUAUCUUAAUAACUUCCCUUACCUGUAUAAAUCCAAGAAAAAAACCAGAUUCAUGAUAAAAUUUGUUAUUCCUUAAACAAUUAUCAUAAUCCUUAUUUAUCCUUAAUCAUUAUCUUGAAUAAUAA